rnacentral:rRNA from 1 species
AGGACGAACGCUGGCGGCGUGCUUAACACAUGCAAGUCGAGCGGUAAGGCCUUUCGGGGUACACGAGCGGCGAACGGGUGAGUAACACGUGGGUGAUCUGCCCUGCACUUCGGGAUAAGCCUGGGAAACUGGGUCUAAUACCGGAUAUGACCUCAGGUUGCAUGACUUGGGGGUGAAAGAUUUAUCGGUGCAGGAUGGGCCCGCGGCCUAUCAGCUUUGGUUGGUGGGUAAUGGCCUACCGAAGGCGACGACGGGUAGCCGACCUGAGAGGGUCGACCGGCCACGACGUGGGACUGGAGACACGGCCCAGACUCCGACGGGAGCAGGCGGUAGGGAAUAGUGCACGAAGUGGGACGAAAGCCUGAUG